rnacentral:lncRNA from 1 species
AAGCUGAAUGCAAGCCUGGAGACCAUGCCAGUAUGCUCUGUCCCUCUAAGGCCUCAGCUCCAGGUUCCUGCCCUGACGACCCUCCACAGUAGACUGUAAUGUAGAAAUGUGACAUCCACCUGCCAGUGUUUUAUCACAGCGGUAGAUGGCUAAUUAAGGCAGGGGAACAUUAGCCAACCCCUCAGGGAGUGCCCUGCGCUGUGGGGUGUGGCAGAGGUGGUACCUCUUCCUGCAUCUCCUCCACUGCGGGCCUCAGGAAAGCGCGAUUAAUGAGGCCUCAGGAAAGUGCGAUUAAAGGUAGAGGAGGCACCUGAGAGGGGACACGCUUCUGUUGGGCCUGCCUGGGCCGAGCAUGGUUUCCCUACCUGGUUGCCGCCGAGGUUGUGGCAGACAUACAUGAUGAGAGGCUUUCCUCCACGGUUGUUCUCGCCCACAUCCAAACACUGAUUGGUGCCGAGAUUCUUGAUCUGCACAAAGCAAUUCGAGCCAGGAGGGGCUCCAGCCAGCCGUGGAAACACUCACCUGCAGACCCAGGCAAGAAGGUGAAGGGCCAGCUAAUCUGAGUCACCAAGCCUCUACACAAGGACAGGAUAGCCCCAGCUCCUCCUGGCACCCGGGUGGGCGUGUCCUACUCACAGUGGGCGUCCAGGAACGUGAGCACCUCGGCCUGCGCCACGCUGGCCCCCAGCAGCCGGGCUGUGAUGAGCCCCUUCCGCUCCCGCUGCCGAACCACGCGCACGAUCUGGAGCUGCUGAACGUAGCGCUCCAGCCUCUCCUUCAGGUGCUCUGGAAGGGAAGCGGCCACUGUGACCAGCUCCUCACUAAUCCCCUGUGGGUAUUACCCCCAAGUACUCGCAAAAACUGCCCGCAGAAGGUGAGGGCAAAGAUGGGAAGACAGGCAGGUAGGAAACCCUGUCUGUGGCCAGGCCCCCUUGAGAACAGGCUUGCCAGCACUGUCCUAUGUCUGUGGCCAUCUUCUCCCUCCCCCACUCCUUGAAGUGUUGGGAAUUAAACCCAGGGCCUUGUGGGUGCCAGGUAAGUGCUCCACCACUAAGCGACACUGCCCCGCACAAGCCCAGUCUUUGACUUUAUGCCCUGCGUAUGGGACUCUUCAGGGGGAGUAAAACAAGCCAAGCAGAUUUGAAAUGCUAAAAGCGGCUGUGGGUAACAAAGUUCAGUGGUAGGCGCCUGCCUAGCGUGGGGGCUUCUGGCUACCGUGGAUAGUGAUGCAUCCCUAAGGAUCCUGGGAUUCCAUCUGAAAUCCUCAGGACACAGAACGUAGUAGUUUUACUUCCAAGGACUCCAUCUUGGAGCAUCCUCCAUCUUUAUGUCUUAACUGUUAAGUUUGACUGUCCUGGAAACUGCUCUGUAGACCGGGCUAGCCUCAAACUCACAGAGAUUCCCCCUGCCUCUGCCUCCCCAGUGCUGCAAUUAAAAACACAUUUUAUCACUUC